rnacentral:rRNA from 1 species
AUUGAACGCUGGCGGCAGGCCUAACACAUGCAAGUCGAACGAGUGGCGGACGGGUGAGUAAUGUCUGGGAACCUGCCCGAUGGAGGGGGAUAACUGCUGGAAACGGUAGCUAAUACCGCAUACCAUCGGAUGUGCCCAGAUGGGAUUGGCUAGUAGGUGGGGUAACGGCUCACCUAGGCGACGAUCCCUAGCUGAGCUGAGAGGAUGACCGGCCACACUGGAACUGAGACACGGUCCAGACUCCUACGGGAGGCAGCAGUGGGGAAUAUUGCACAAUGGGCGAAAGUCUGAUGGAGCCAUGCCGCGUGUAUGAAGAAGGUCUUCGGGUUGUAAAGUACUUUCAGCGAGGAGGCGUUACCUGCAGAAGAAGCACCGGCUAACUCCGUGCCAGCAGCCGCGGUAAUAC